CGGACAGCGUGAUGAGUCCCAGAUGUUAACGCACACCGAAUGAGAAAAAAUAAAAUACAAAGAUCAACUGUAAGAGCUAUGGAGGACUGUACUUAGUUUACAUUCGGAUGUUGACACAUGAAGAAAAUGGAUUUUCGUCAAGGGCUCCUAAAGCUGUUAAAACUUACAGACCAAUUGAAAGAAAAGAAGAGAACAAACAACACAAUUAAAAGAAGCUGCCAAAAACUGUAGAAGUGUCAGCUGGCAAGAAAGAACCUCUGCGGAAAUUUAUUGGUGAGCAGGUAAACAUCUCACUGUCCCUGAGCCAACAAAAAAUGCCUCUCUAGGAGUUAGAUUAGCUUUACACAGCUGAUUCAA
rnacentral:lncRNA from 1 species